AAGGUAGCGAAAUUCCUUGUCGGGUAAGUUCCGACCUGCACGAAUGGCGUAACGAUCUCCACACUGUCUCGGCCAGAGACUCGGUGAAAUUGAAGUCGCGGUGAAAAUGCCGUGUACCCGCAGAAAGACGGAAAGACCCUGUGCACCUUUACUAUAGCUUGACAUUGGGAUUUGAGCCUGCAUGUGUAGCAUAGGUGGGAGGCUGUGAACUCUGUACGCCAGUAUGGAGGGAGCCAACGUUGAAAUACCACCCUUGUUUGUUCAGGUCCCUAACUCUUCGCCGUUACCCGGUAAGAGGACAGUGUCUGGUGGGUAGUUUGACUGGGGCGGUCGCCUCCCAAAAUGUAACGGAGGCAUGCAAAGGUUCCCUCAGGCUGAUUGGAAACCAGCCGUCGAGUGCAAACGCAAAAGGGAGCUUGACUGCAAGAGAGACAUCUCGAGCAGGUACGAAAGUAGGUGUUAGUGAUCCGGUGAUCCCGAAUGGAAGGGUCAUCGCUCAUUGGAUAAAAGGUACGCCGGGGAUAACAGGCUGAUCGCAUCCAAGAGUUCACAUCGACGAUGCGGUUUGGCACCUCGAUGUCGGCUCAUCACAUCCUGGGGCUGAAGCAGGUCCCAAGGGUACGGCUGUUCGCCGUUUAAAGUGGUACGCGAGCUGGGUUUAAAACGUCGUGAGACAGUUUGGUCCCUAUCUUCUGUGGGCGAAGGAGAAUUGAGAGGGCCUGUCCCUAGUACGAGAGGACCGGGAUGGACGCACCCCUGGUGAUCCUGUUGUCGCGCCAGCGGCAUAGCAGGGUAGCUAUGUGCGGAAGGGAUAACCGCUGAAAGCAUCUAAGCGGGAAGCCUGCCUCAAGAUAAGUUCUCCCCUCGAAAGAGCUGAAGGGCCCGGGUAGACUACCCGGUCGAUAGGCUGGAGGUGUAAGCGCGGCGACGUGCUCAGCUGACCAGUACUAAUAGCCCGAGCGGCUUAUUUUU
rnacentral:rRNA from 1 species